rnacentral:rRNA from 1 species
GAUCAUGGCUCAGGAUGAACGCUAGCGACAGGCUUAACACAUGCAAGUCGAGGGGCAGCAUGGUCUUAGCUUGCUAAGACUGAUGGCGACCGGCGCACGGGUGAGUAACACGUAUCCAACCUGCCGUCUACUCUUGGACAGCCUUCUGAAAGGAAGAUUAACACAAGAUGGCAUCAUGAGUCCGCAUGUUCACAUGAUUAAAGGUAUUCCGGUAGACGAUGGGG